rnacentral:misc_RNA from 1 species
GAUGAAGAACCUAGCGAAAUGCGAUAAGUAAUGUGAAUUGCAGAAUUCAGUGAAUCAUCGAAUCUUUGAACGCACAUUGCGCCCGCCAGUAUUCUGGCGGGCAUGCCUGUCUGAGCGUCAUUUCAACCCUCAUGCCCCUAGGGCGUGGUGUUGGGGAUCGGCCAAAGCCCGCGAGGGACGGCCGGCCCCUAAAUCUAGUGGCGGACCCGUCGUGGCCUCCUCUGCGAAGUAGUGAUAUUCCGCAUCGGAGAGCGACGAGCCCCUGCCGUUAAACCCCCAACUUUCCAAGGUUGACCUCAGAUCAGGUAGGAAUACCCGCUGAACUUAAGCAUAUCAAUAAGCGGAGGA